UAACGAAAUCGACGAUCGAUUUACUCGUGACCUUUCACCUCGCCGUGAUGCCGCGACUACGUAAGAGGCGUGGACUGGUGGUUGUCAAUGCGACAGCCUAUUCAUUACCGAUUUCGAUCGGUGAGGUGGAAAGUAGGAAAGGAAAGAUAUGACGCGGACGUUUCGAAGGCUCAAUUUUUAAUUUCUUAAUCGAUUGUUCAGCGUUAUUUAUAGAUGCAAUCUGUCAUAAUUUUUUUUUUUUUUUUUUUUCCAAAAACUUCUCGGGAUACUUGAUUGCUUACCAAAGCCGAGAAGUAAUGAGAAAGCUUAGAUCACACCUGAUUAAAGACGGCAUUGCUUCGAUGAUACACAGAUGCCGUAUAUCAUGCGUAAGUCGCAAUCCCACAGGCAACAAUAGCACGUAUCUCGAAUAUCCGACCCUGAAAGGAAUCGUGCCAAUCUCUCAAACCGCGAAGUUUACGUCACGGUUCAUUCACCCGCGAUUGUUUCGCCGUACGCGUUACGUGUGUCACGUACCUCGUAGUCUACGAGGAACGAGGCUCCGUCCCGACAAGGUACAGCUGACGAUUGAGCCUUGGUGACCUGAUUUAUUCGUUUCUUCGAAUCUAAUAGGAAUUGGCGAGACUCGGAGCGAAAUUGUUGAGUCACACGGUCGGAAAUAAAAGUCUAUAAUAUCCUAUAGAAAUCAAAAAUCAGUUCAAUUCUUUGUCGUCAGAAAAACUCUGAUUUUUAUAGGAUCCUUUAUUUUUAUAAAAAAAUCUUUAAGAUGUUUGUACCACUUUGUCAAAUCUUCUUCGCUUAUAAUAGAACAAAAUUGAAAUGAUAUUAGUAAUUAGAUGCUUUAUAUUUUCACUUGAAUAUAUGAAAAAAAGUCUAAAAAUAUUAUAAAAUUAAUUACUAUGAAAUAAUGUAACAUUUGAUAUUUAAAAUAAUUUGUCUAUUAUAUAAGAAUGAGAAAAAGUAUCAUAUGGAGACUAUAAGAAUUCAAUUGCAAAAUACGAGCGGGAUUUGAACCAACAUCGCCGUUUGACUCGCCAUCUGUUUUUAAUUUAAAAAUAAAUGCGAAGAUAGCUCGAGUAGCAGGUUUACCGUAGAAUUACGCUCGACAGCAUAAUACGAGUGACAUGAUGUCGAUGACUCAUACCCGAUGGCAAGCUCGACGAUAAUAUUGCGCGACCAUUGGCGCAGAUGUAGAUAACUUACUAUACAAAUAUAUACAUGCAUAUUUAAUAUCUGUAACACUACGAGUACAAGCGGGAUCGGUUAUAACGGAAUGCGAGUUUAACGGUGAGUGAGUAACGAGUAUUUAAUUAAGGUGACCUCGCCUUCGCCUCGUUAAUGAACCCGUAAGAAAAAUCGCGUGUUCCCUGCGAUUUCAUUUUGCCAUGACCAAAAUAGACGUAUUUCGGGCCAAGUGCGAAUGAUUCAUUUCGCGAUUAACGGUGACGUUUCGUUGAAGCAAAUUUUUUGUUCGCGUUCGUUUGCUCCAAACCCGGAGAGAGAUUUCUUUCUCCAUAUCAAUGAUGAAAUCUUAGGAUAAGGAAUACAUAAGACGUUAUGUAAGGCACAUUGCGCUGUGUAACGGAGGCAUACCUCGAAGAUCUUGUGCGAUUUUACGCGCGUUGGAACGGGAAAACCCGACACCACGUGCGUGUCGCGUGUGCCACGCACGUUCGUCUCUUCCGCGCGUGACUACGAAUUGCUGGCUGCAUUAAGUACGCGGCACGUUUAACGAAUACCCGAACACUCGAGGACAAAUGUGCAUAGAGAAAAAGGACGGAGAUAUUGGGCGGAGAUGAGAAGCCAAGUGUGCAGAGAUAAUUCGUUUCGGUGACCGCACGUGUGAGGAAAAAACAACAGAUGAAAAGCAGAGUGUCACUUUUCUUGAAUAGGAAUCAGAAGACAGGCAGGUGUACGGUGUGUCGGGGAGAAAUUAAGCGUAUAACACAGACCACCGUGACAUCGGCGUGGAUUCAUGGAACACGUUAUAACGGCCGCUCCCAUUCUUCACAAAAAUAAACCGAUAAAAUUGGAACGUACAGAAUGAAAAGCUGGUCGGUGCGUUUAGCUCACGCAAGAGGAAUCGGACUUCACCCCCCGUUCUGGAUAUUAAAAGUACUCCGGGGACAGGAUGGCCAAGAGGACGUUAAUUAAUUCAGCGGCGCAGCGGUCAGCUAAUUGCACGGUAUGCGACAUAUAUGGGACAUUUUAAUUAGAGUGAAUUCCUGCUCUGGGACAAUGUAUAAGAUCAUAUCGCACACCCACGCACAAUCAAGAUAGCGCAAUAAUCAUUCGGUGAAAUCAAGAUGUUAGAUAAAAAAGACAGGGGACGAAAUAUAAUCCAACGCGCGGUAUACAUAUAGACGAAUUAAUUUGCCGAGUAUUUACCGAGAACGCGAAAAAUAAAAGCAGGGCAGAUAAAGGCCGAAAGUUCUCAACCUAUACGCUAGACGAGAAACCAGACUUCUGAAGGCAUUAACCGAGUUUCUAAUCUUACGUGACAAUUCCACAAAUAACAGAAGAAAGAAAGUUCCGAACAGAUAGCGAUACGUGAAACAGUGUAAUACUGUUAAUCUCUUUCUCUUGGGACGGAUUCAGUAAACCUACGAUCGCGUAAAUAAAGCACUCUUUCAUGAUUAUCUCGGGACAUAGCAGAUUAUUACAUUACUUUCUUUCACUUUGCGCUACCAGUCGCGGAUUAUCUCGGCUCCGAGAUAAGGGCUGAAUUCGGAGAACGCGCUGUCAGCGCUACUGCAUUAUUUAAUUUUUCAUUAGACACAACAAAAUAAGGACAGUAUAGAAACACAAUCCGCUGUCCAUGAGAAUUAAUUCCGUGCGCAGGGCAACAAGUCACAGUCGGCGUUCCGGAUUUAACACGACGGCCGUUAUUUUAUCGAUCAUCCGCGAAAGCGUGGUUAUUUCCCGCAAGGCCGCGGAUUCAGGCAUUCUGAAUGGAAGAAACGCGAUUCCAUCGAUACGUGGGAAAGCAUCGGCAGGGAAAAAAAGAGCUGCUCGCGUUCAAACAAACGAGCCGGUGCUCGUUCACAGCGAGCAAAGACAUUGCCUGCCUCAUCACGAGAUCGUGAAUCUGCGAGGUAUCCCUCUCCCCGUAUAAUUGCAUAACAUGCCGUGGACGAAAAAUUCAACUUGAUUAAAUUUCUUCUGUUCAAGUAUUUGUGCAACUGAAAUACAUAAAUGUUGGUAAUGAAAAAAUUUAAUCAAGUUGAAAAGUUUAGUCAAAUUAGUAACUUUUUUCCUCAGUAGGUCAAAACAAGAUCCAACUUUGCAAGUUUUUAUGAGAAAGCGAAAAGCGAUAGGUAGAGAAAUCGUGUUUAAUUCAUUGUAAAAAUAUUUUUCUUUAUUUGUAACAUAUAAAUUUUAUUAAGAAAUAUUUAAUAUAAAAUAGCGACGCUAUUCAAGUUUUCCUAAAUCAUAUAUUUAUAUAUAUUUUUUUUUUAAAUAACACAAAUGACACAAAUUGAAGCAUAAAUCUAAUGUUUGACCGUAGCUGCUUUUCGAAAUAUUACCUUUGAAUAAAAUGGCAGCUGGUCAAAGUCAAUAUAACGGUUUUUCACUAGAAAUUUUUGUUCAUUUUUUGACUGCAACAAAAAACUAAGCAUCGUAAAAAAAAAGUCAAAUACUACCCAAGUCAAAUACUAUAGUUUCUAAAAAAAAAAAA